GAAAAAACAAGAUUUCCUUAAUCAGAAUUUUCGGCAUAGAGUAACAAUUUUUUGUAAUUUUUCUUUUUCAUUAAAUUUUUUUAAAUUGUAUUUUUCUGCCAUUGUAAUAAUUUAUAACAAUUUUACUAUAGAAUCUAUUUCUGUCACAAAAAUUGCAGCACGUAUUUUCAAAGGUAAUUUUACAUUGCCUUUUGUAAGAGUAGUUAUAUGUCAAGAUACAUUACUAGUUUACUACUGGGAUGUUUUCUUUAGUGAAAAGAAAUGGCAUGUGUUUCCUUGAAUCUCGUUUCUUCUUUUUUAUGUUUUCCUAUUUUGCCCCGUGUGAUCUGUAUAUGCCAUAUGUUUUUAUUAUGUAAAGCAUUCUUUGGUGUGCAGCUAUACUUCAACCUAAAUGUUAAAAUAUUAUAUUUUUGGUUAAAUUAACCGGUUACAAUUAAAAAUAUCUUCGGAUAUAAUAUUGUUGAAAAUUAUAUGAUUUUAACAAGAGUGGAAAUGCUAAAUAGUAUAUGAGAAAUGUAAAUGUCCUGUACAUGUUACAACUGUAGUAUUUUGUACGUGUAUAUAGUUUUUCGCCAUGCCAUAUCCGGCUGUCCUCGCAUUCAUCUGAUGCCUUGUGAGUAGAUGCCAUGUAUUUAACAUACAAAAAGCUGUUUACUGAUUUGUUUUAGUUUUUGUCAGUGAAUAUAUAUCAUAUGAAGUGCUAGAUCAGUCCAUUUACACCGAGAACGUAGUCUGCUUUUAGAUUUUGAAAACAAAUAAACGAAUAAUGAACUU
rnacentral:sRNA from 1 species